UACAGAGGUCUCAAGCGUUGUUCGGAUUCAUUGGGCGUAAAGGGCGCGUAGGUGGCGCCGUAAGUCAGGUGUGAAAUUUCGGAGCUUAACUCCGGAACUGCAUUUGAUACUGCGGUGCUUGAGGCCUGGAGAGGAGACUGGAAUUCAUGGUGUAGCAGUGAAAUGCGUAGAGAUCAUGAGGAAGACCAGUGGCGAAGGCGGGUCUCUGGACAGUUACUGACGCUGAGACACGAAGGCCAGGGGAGCAAACGGG
rnacentral:rRNA from 1 species